rnacentral:rRNA from 1 species
UUGAACGCUGGCGGCAUGCUUUACACAUGCAAGUCGAACGGCAGCGGGGGCUUCGGCCCGCCGGCGAGUGGCGAACGGGUGAGUAAUAUAUCGGAACAUAUCCGGAAGUGGGGGAUAACGUAGCGAAAGUUACGCUAAUACCGCAUAUGCCCCGAGGGGGAAAGGGGGGGAUCGCAAGACCUCUCGCUUUCGGAGUGGCCGAUAUCAGAUUAGCUAGUUGGUGAGGUAAAGGCUCACCAAGGCGACGAUCUGUAGCUGGUCUGAGAGGACGACCAGCCACACUGGGACUGAGACACGGCCGAGACUCCUACGGGAGGCAGCAGGGGGGAAUUUUGGACAAUGGGCGCAAGCCUGAUCCAGCCAUGCCGCGUGAGUGAAGAAGGCCUUCGGGUUGUAAAGCUCUUUCGGACAGAAAGAAAUCGCACUGGUUAAUACCUUGUGUGGGUGACGGUACUGUAAGAAGAAGCACCGGCUAACUACGU